rnacentral:lncRNA from 1 species
GUUCCCAACAGUGACAGAGUGGGAGAAUGUGAUUAGUGAGUAGUUCUUUCCACCAACUUGAAGAGUCCCAUCACUGUCCUGCUCUGAGGGAUGGAGGAAGGUGGGAAGAGUCUGUGAAAAAAGAACAGCAGGAAUUCAGGGUGAAGAAGAUGUGGACUGUGUCUCCAAUGUCUGGUUUGCACAAAAGAGAGCUGGCGCCAUCUAAUUUUUGUGUGGAAAUCCGAAGAUGUCCUAAGGGCAUAGGAAGUUCAGCAAAAUGAAGGAGUGUACUCAAAGCUGAGCCCAGAUACAAACCCAGCCCUUCGUGGUUAUAAAACCUCUUCAUCUGCUGGCUUCUUGCUUUUCAGUAGAGUACCAGGGUCAGACUUCAGCCCACCUGGAAACUCACUAGCAUAACUCAACUGAUGUGAAGAUGAAAUAUUGUCCUCGUAUCCUAACUGACUGCCCCUUUCCUAUAUAAUGAUUGGAAAUUCAAUAUUGACCCAAUUCAACAAAGAUUUUGUGAGCCUUGUCUAUGAGGCAGGCAAGUGGUAAUAAUAGAUAAUAAACUUACUGAGGGCUUAUUGUGUUUGGGGCAUUGUUUCAAGAACAUGAAUGUCUCAUUUAAUUUUCUGAACAACUCUAAGAUAGAUCCAUUAUUAACAACCCCAUUUUACAGAUGAU